GAUGAACGCUAGCGGGAGGCUUAACACAUGCAAGUCGAGGGGCAUCACGAGGUAGCAAUACUUUGGUGGCGACCGGCGCACGGGUGAGUAACGCGUAUGUAACCUACCCUGUACAGGGGGAUAGCCCGGAGAAAUUCGGAUUAAUACCCCAUAAUGAUAUCUGGAGGCAUCUUUGGAUAUUUAAAGCUUCGGCGGUACGGGAUGGGCAUGCGUGACAUUAGCUAGUUGGUAAGGUAACGGCUCACCAAGACUUCGAUGUCUAGGGGUUCUGAGAUGAUUAACCCCCACACUGGUACUGAGACACGGACCAGACACCUACGGGAGCU
rnacentral:rRNA from 1 species